GCCAGUGUGGUUUAAUGGUUUGAGUGUUGGCUUCUGGUUCUGGAGACCAGGGUUCGAUUCCCAGCUUUUUCC